GGGCGCAAAAGCCAGCACCGGCCGAGAGCGGGGAGAAGGCGGCCGUGAGAGAGGGGGAGGCAGCGGUCGGGCACGACGGCCUUACGUAAACAUAUCACCAGAAUGAUUGACAACUAGGAGGACCAAUAGUUUUGAUGAUCCACCCGGAAAAAGAAAAUCCUCCACUAUACCUUUAAGUAACAAAACAGUG